UCUCUCUCUCUCUCUCUCUCAUCUUGUGGUUAGUGGAAUGAAAAAAUAGGCAAUGAAAGUGGGGUGGGGCCACGGCUUGCUUUUGUCAACGACUUUGUUGUUUCCCUUCCAAGUCUCUUCACUUUAUUAAAAUCGGUUAUUUACUUAGUUUACUUCCCUUUUUUUUCAGUUCUUUCUUUGCAAAAGCUCACAAAUAUAGAUUAAAUUGCUAUUAUACUGAAUCAGGUUUUCUGCUACUUCCCCUUUUAUUCUUGGUUUGUUAAACUGAUAUUUGUUGUUUAAUGCUAUUUCCCAACAAAUCAAUACCUUAUAUGUUUUUCACUAAAUUUUGUGGUCAGUCAGGUAUCUUGAGCAAUAUAGUUAAUGCAUUGCAAUAUUGGAAGUCCCGCAAGUAUCUUCAACCAAAUCGGUGGCUGCAAAGUUGGUUGAGAAGAGAAAUUCAGGCUCUUUGGCAGGUCCGUCUGUUAAUAUGAGAUUUUUCUAUGCUUUGCCCUUGUACUUAUUACAAACUUGGACAUCCCACUGAAAUUUGGUGCUCUAUCAUAUGAUACUAUAUAAUUCAAAUUAUAUACUCUAUGCAUUAGAGCAGAUAAAUGCCAUUAAUAAUGUUGCAUUGCUGGUAGAUUGGAGAUCUUACUAAAAUUAAUAACUUGUAUAACUAAGCUUGGCAUUAGUGGAUGGCUGCAUAACCGUGUGAAAAACUGUUCAAACCAUAUAGUCUUUAGUCAUAUGGAGCUGCACGUAGCAUCAACUAAUGUCUUUUCCUACUUUACUCCAUUGAAUUCAGAUCAAUUUUCUUUUUCCUUUUUUUUUUAAUGUCAGAGUUUGAAAGGCAUUAUUCCCUGCCUACUCUUUUGUGUGCUAUUUUGGCACUAGUUCAAACUUUGUGGAUGUGGAUAAAUAUUUAAAGUUUUGGUUUUGUGUGUUUUUAUCAGAAUAUGAGAAGAAGGAAAAAUUGCUCUCUCCUUAUCUCCCUUUACAUACAUAUAAAAUAAAACAGAAAUUAGAAGAGAGAAAGUGAGAAGAAUAAGAGGGGCGGGGGGAGAUUAAAGAAAUGGGGAAAUAAAUUGUACUGAUGCUAAAUUUUUCUUGGUGGGUAAUGUUGGUAAAUGCUUUAAAGUGAAUCUGUUUGUAGGCCAUUACCACGAAAUUGUGUGGUUUGUUUGCUGGUAUAGAUGAGAUAUUCUCUUCUCUAUGGAUGCAGUUUCCAUUUUCAUUUUUGGAGAAUAUUGUUGAAAAUGCUGAAUUUUUCCAUGAACGUGGAUGCCAAAUUGGAAAAACUUCUGAAAACUGUUUUUCAAGAUUUUCUGCAAAAUUCGUUUCUAUCUUUUCCAGAGAAAUGAGUCCAUGACUAUGUAUUGGUUAUCAAAGAUUUCUUGCCGCAUUCACAAUAACUGAAAUAUAAAAACUAUUCAAUAUGUUUUGCUUUUAUAAACAUUGCUACUAGUCUUUUAUCUGAAAUGAGUCUUCUAAAGAUGGCAAAGGUGGAGCUGUUAAGUGAAUUUUCACUCAUCACGUCACAGUUUAUGUGUUCAACAAAAAUAUAAGAUGCUAGGGAUGACUAUAAGAAAACUGUGGUGUGUUUGGAAAGAGCUAGUUUGCUGAUGAUGCUGUUGUAAAUUAGUUGCCUACAGAAUGAUAGCUCAA
rnacentral:misc_RNA from 1 species